UACAGAGGGUGCAAGCGUUAAUCGGAGUUACUGGGCGUAAAGGGCGCGUAGGCGGUUAUUUAAGUUUGAUGUGAAAUCCCUGGGCUUAACCUAGGAACUGCAUCAGAUACUGGGUAACUAGAGUAUUGUAGAGGGUAGUGGAAUUUCCGGUGUAGCGGUGAAAUGCGUAGAGAUGUGGAGGAAUACCGAUGGCGAAGGCAGCCCCCUGGGCCAAUACUGACGCUCAUGCACGAAAGCGUGGGGAGCAAACAGG
rnacentral:rRNA from 1 species